rnacentral:lncRNA from 1 species
UGAUAGAAAAUAGGGUGAGGGGUUCUUACCAUAUUUGACAUAGAACUCUUAAUUUUCAUUGCGCCUACGGGCGGUCCCUAGGUUCCAUGAAUUUUUCCUCGGGAACUGAAACGCGCUUAUGGUACCUACACAUGUCCCAAAUAAAAAUCAGACCCAAGGCUUAUUCAGCCAAUUUCAAAAUUCUGGCACAACGGCUCCGCCGUGCUCCGGAGACGGCUCUGC